AUUGAACGCUGGCGGCAUGCCUUACACAUGCAAGUCGAACGGCAGCACGGGGGCAACCCUGGUGGCGAGUGGCGAACGGGUGAGUAAUGCAUCGGAACGUGCCCAGUAGUGGGGGAUAACCCGGCGAAAGCCGGGCUAAUACCGCAUACGACCUAAGGGUGAAAGCGGGGGACCGUAAGGCCUCGCGCUAUUGGAGCGGCCGAUGUCUGAUUAGCUAGUUGGCGGGGUAAAAGCCCACCAAGGCGACGAUCAGUAGCUGGUCUGAGAGGACGACCAGCAACACUGGGACUGAGACACGGCCCAGAGUCCUACGGGAGGCAGCAGUGGGGAAUUUUGGACAAUGGGCGCAAGCCUGAUCCAGCCAUGCCGCGUGCGGGAAGAAGGCCUUCGGGUUGUAACCGCUUUUGGCAGGAACGAAACGGCGCAAGCCAAUACCUUGCGCUAAUGACGGUACCUGCAGAAUAAGCACCGGCUAACUACGUGCCAGCCGCCGCCGUAAUAC
rnacentral:rRNA from 1 species